rnacentral:lncRNA from 1 species
GGAGAAAGAAGAAGAACCAGAUGGCUGAGUAGAACCUUCUAGCAAUCAUCUCCCUAUAGGAACAUCAAAUUGAACAGCUAUCUACAUAAAGCACCUUCCUAAGGACAAAAAAUUCAGGUCACUGAUCACAGUACCUACUUUUAACAUAGUAACAAGUAGAGAGUCAUUUGAAGAGAGUAGCAAAGACAGUCUUACAUUGCCUGCACCACCUCUCCUCCAGCUAGUGUAAGCAUGGAGAGAGAAGCUGUGCCUGGGGGAAGGAGAGGAAAGUGAGUGUGGAACUUAGAAGUGGAACUCAGUGCCUCCCUGUCACAGUGGAAUAAUAAUGUAGCUGUUUGCCCCUGGAGGAGGCAUAUAGCCCAGCCCUGGACUAGAGAAUCCUCUGCUCCAGUGGAAGGAAACUAAAUCCUGGCCAGCUUCACUAUUGGCUGACUUAAAUAAUGGGGGCCUGAAUUAAUUUGUGUGGCAGUUGGUCCACAGGACUGCAAUUCUUGGGCAAGCCAAGGAGCUGCCCUGGUCUCAGAGGCAGUGGACUUUGGAUGUAACCCAGUGUGACACCGACUGCAGUGGCCAUGGGAAUGUUUGCACCACCUUCCCCCCAACUCCUGACAGAGAAGUUCAUGGAAUGACAUUUCCCACUUAGAGGAGAGAGUACAGAAGACUUUGUUUCGCAACUUGGGUACCAGCAGCUCAGGCACAGUAAAAUAAAGCACCAAGAAGAUUCCUAAACGCCUUGAUUCCUGGAUUUUGCUCCUGGACUAUGUUCCUAGACUCAUUCUGAACCAGAAGGCAGUCCAUUAUACAUGGAUGUAUACAACAAAUCUAAGAGUUAUUGGGAUUAAGAAGGAUGGGGUAAGAGACAGACAGAGAGGGAGAGGAAAAUUGGGGUAGAAAACGCAUUCAAAUAGUAAUACAGAAGUUUACAAAAUAGAGAAAGACGUGAAUAGACACAUACAAGGUGAUUCAACCCAAAUAAGACUAUUUCGGCAUAUAUAAUUAUCAAGGUCAAAGAUCAAAGAUUCUCAAAAGCAGCAAAAGAAAAGAGGAAAACACCAUAUAAAGCUCUAAUACAUCUGGCGGCAGACUUAGCAGAAACUUUACUUGCAAGGAGGGAGUGGGAUGACAUAUUUAAGGAAUAUGUUUCUCUUGAAAAAUAUUGGAGUAUAAAGACACCCACUUAAGAAAAAUUCUGACACAUACACAUUUAAAUGUUUUUCUUCUUCUUCAAAUUGAAUGUAAGUAUAAAAGAGCAACAUAUGCAGCAUUUGAAAAUCAUUAUCACCAUUAAAUUAGGCAGCUGUUAAUGUUAUUGUGAUUUUUGGUUAUUAAUGUAUA